GCCGGGGGUGCUCCGGGCCGCCGGGGAACGGGCCCCCGUGCGGACCGGGCUGCCCCUGGCCGGGUCCCUGUCCGGGUCCGAAUCCCUGCCCGGGUCCC
rnacentral:tRNA from 1 species